GUGGGGAAUAUUGGACAAUGGGCGCAAGCCUGAUCCAGCAAUGCCGCGUGGGUGAAGAAGGCCUUCGGGUCGUAAAGCUCUGUUGCAGGGGAAGAACACAAUGACGGUACCCUGCUAGAAAGGAUCGGCUAACUUCGUGCCAGCAGCCGCGGUAAGACGAGGGAUCCUAGCGUUGUUCGGAAUUAUUGGGCGUAAAGCGGGUGCAGGUGGCUUGGUAAGUCAGAUGUGAAAGCCUGGGGCUUAACCCCAGAAGUGCAUUUGAUACUGCUGAGCUUGAGUGCUGGAGAGGCUAUUAGAAUUCCUGGUGUAGUGGUGAAAUACGUAGAUAUCAGGAGGAAUACCGGAGGCGAAGGCGGAUAGCUGGCCAGACACUGACACUCAGACCCGAAAGCGUGGGGAUCAAACAGGAUUAGAUACCCGGGUAGUCC
rnacentral:rRNA from 1 species